rnacentral:rRNA from 1 species
UGGGUUUGACAUGCCCAGGACGCGUCUAGAGAUAGGCGUUCCCUUGUGGUCUGUGUGCAGGUGGUGCAUGGCUGUCGUCAGCUCGUGUCGUGAGAUGUUGGGUUAAGUCCCGCAACGAGCGCAACCCUUGUCUCAUGUUGCCAGCGCGUUAUGGCGGGGACUCGUGAGAGACUGCCGGGGUCAACUCGGAGGAAGGUGGGGAUGACGUCAAGUCAUCAUGCCCCUUAUGUCCAGGGCUUCACACAUGCUACAAUGGCCGGUACAAAGGGCUGCGAUGCCGUGAGGUGUAGCGAAUCCUUGAAAGCCGGUCUCAGUUCGGAUCGGGGUCUGCAACUCGACCCCGUGAAGUCGGAGUCGCUAGUAAUCGCAGAUCAGCAACGCUGCGGUGAAUACAGUCCCGGGCC